rnacentral:lncRNA from 1 species
CUGUUCUAGCUGGACAGUGCUACAUCACUCAUCCAGGCAGCCAAAAACCUGAUGAAUGCGGUUGUCCUCACGGUGAAAGCAUCUUAUGUAGCCUCAACCAAAUACCAGAAGGUCUAUGGAACAGCAGCUGUCAACUCUCCAGUUGUAUCUUGGAAGAUGAAGGCUCCUGAAAAGAAGCCCCUUGUGAAGAGAGAGAAGCCUGAAGAAUUCCAGACACGAGUUCGACGGGGGUCUCAAAAGAAACACAUUUCACCUGUGCAGGCUUUAAGUGAAUUCAAGGCAAUGGAUUCCUUUUAGGACAAUAGGCUUCAAACAAGAAAGCUUUUUCUUUCUCCCUCCCUCCCCCCUCUCUGUCCCCUUUCUUUUUCAUUUUGAUUCCAUUUUUGUAAGCAUACCUGCUGACUUGUAUGCCUCUGGCAUGGGGAAAUUAAGAGAACAGUGUCUGUUUGCAUGUUAGAUGAGAUGAGAUCAAUGCUACUGCUCCAUCAGUAGCCUGGGAAGGAAGGGGGACAGGUGAUGAUUUCUGUCCUGAGGUGGCACAGAGCUGUCCUUUGCAACAUUCUCUUUAAAGUUGGGCAAAGAGUUCACACUGUGAUGUUCACGGGAGUGGGAGGGAUGGGGAAAAUAAACUUAAACUCUACAAAAGCAAACUCUAAUGCAUGCAAGAAUCAUUAGGUUGGCAGGUAUAUUCAUAAGUGAAAAACCUGGAAGUGUUAUGGUAGAGCAUAAAACCUGUACUGCUUCUGUUUCGGUGCAAAAAUGUACUAGCCAAUACGCUGAAGUGUGUGGCCCACAAAUUGAACAAUUUAACCUCAACGUCACAUAUCCAUGCUAUCAUGCGGAUUCUUAACUGAGGAGAAACUAACUCAUCCCGUCUCAAAUGUUUCUUUAAUCUGCAUUCUGUUCUUUCUUCCUGGUAGUGCCAUUACUAGUGUUCCUCUUAUUUUAUCCUCUCUGCUGAAGACAGGAAACAUUCCUUGGAGACACUUGGAUCCUUCUGCGGACCCCGAUGAUACAAAGUGGAGCUCAACUGUCCUUCCUUUUAUUCCUUUCUUUUUUUCUUUCUAAAUUUGAACUCUGACUUUGCUAGACAUAGAAGGCUCAAUGGUGGAAUGUUAGAGCAAUGGGGAUUGACAGUAUGUGAAGGUUUAGAGGCAAACGCAUAGGUGUGUAGCUGGGAGUGCUGGUAUCUAAUAUACCAUUGUAUUCACUGACACAAAAAUAAACACAUUUAAUCUUGACACCUGGGUUGUGUUUUCUUUCUCUGUAUGCAUAGAUAAUAUAAGAAAUAUCCUUAAACGUUGAUAUCAAAAUACUUCUUGUUUGAUUUUUCAAAUCAGCACAAAAACAUAUGUAUUCUCACAGUCAUUUGUUAAGAAAAGGUAUUUUGUAGUUUGUUUUUCCAUAUGUUUCACCUUCAAACUGAAUCUGAGAUGAGAAUGCUUGCAUUUACUUUUCCGGGCCAAUCAAGCUUCCCUGGGCUAAAUUUUUAAAACAGGAGAUUUAAGAUUU